rnacentral:rRNA from 1 species
UACGUAGGGGGCAAGCGUUGUCCGGAAUCAUUGGGCGUAAAGCGCGUGUAGGCGGCUCGGAAAGUCUGGUGUGAAAUCUUGGGGGCUCAACCCCCAAGCUGUCACUGGAUACUGUCGGGCUUGAGUCCGGAAGAGGAGUGUGGAAUUCCGUGGUGUAGCGGUGGAAUGCGCAGAUAUCAGGAGGAACACCAAUGGCGAAGGCAGCACUCUGGUACGUGACUGACGCUGAGACGCGAAAGCGUGGGGAGCAAACAGG